ACCGUCGAGGUAACCCCUCUUAUAGACCGUCGAGGUAAACCCUCUUAUAGACCGAGGUAACCCACCUCUUAUAGACCGUCGAGGUAACCCACCUCUUAUAGACCGAGGUAACCCCUCGACCUCGACCCCUUAUAGACCGUCGAGGUAACCCACCUCUAUAGACCGUAACCUCUAUAGACCGUCGAGGUAAACACUCUUAUAGACCGAGGUAAACCACCUCUAUAGACCGAGGUAACCCACUCUUAUAGACCGUCGAGGUAACCCACCUCUUAUAGACCGUCGAGGUAACCCACCUCUUAUAGACCGUCGAGGUAACCCACCUCUUAUAGACCGUCGAGGUAAACCACCUCUUAUAGACCGAGGUAAACCACCUCUUAUAGACCGAGGUAACCCACCUCUUAUAGACCGUCGAGGUAACCACCUCUUAUAGACCUCGAGGUAACCCACCUCUUAUAGACCGACCGUGAGGUACCCACCUCUUAUAGACGACCGUCGAGGUAACCCACCUCUUAUAGACCGACCUUCGAGGUAACCCACCUCUUAUAGACGACCGACGAGGUAACCACCUCUUAUAGACCGACCGACGAGGUAACACCUCUUUAUAGACCGACCGACGAGGUAACCACCUCUUAUAGACCGACCGACGAGGUAACCCACCUCUUAUAGACCGCCGCGAGGUAACCCACCUCUUAUAGACCUGCUGGCGGUUCCGUACUCACCACACAGCUCA
rnacentral:lncRNA from 1 species